CUAACACAUGCAGUCGAACGGGAACCUUGGGAUUAUCUUGAGGGGGAAAGUGGGAACGGGUGAGUACACGUAGUGUGACUGCCUCGAAGACGGGGAUAACUUCUGGAAACGGUAGCUAAUACCCGAUGGUCUCGGUGAUUCGGUUCAUCGAGUAAAGGUUCCGACGCUUCGAGAGGGGCCUGCGGUCCAUCAGCUAGUUGGUAGGGUAAUGGCCUACCAAGGCAGAGACGGAUAGGGGACGUGAGAGCGUGGCCCCCCACACUGGCACUGAGACACGGGCCAGACUCCUACGGGAGGCAGCAGUGAGGAAUAUUGCGCAAUGGGCGAAAGCCAGACGCAGCAACGCCGCGUGGGUGAAGAAGGCCUUCGGGUUGUAAAACCCUUUCUGGGGGACGAGAAAGGACGGUACCUCAGGAAUAAGCCUCGGCUAACUAUGUGCCAGCAGCCGCGGUAAGACAUAGGAGGCAAGCGUUAUCCGGAUUUACUGGGCGUAAAGAGCGUUGAGGCGGCCCUGUAAGUUGGACGUAAAAGCUCCCGGCUCAACUGGGAGAGGCCGUUCAAUACUGCAGGGCUUGAGGACAGCAGAGGGGGGUGGAAUUCCCGGUGUAGUGGUGAAAUGCGUAGAUAUCGGGAGGAACACCAGUGGCGAAGGCGGCCCCCUGGGCUGCUCCUGACGCUGAAGGCGAAAGCUAGGGUAGCAAACGGGAUUAGAAACCCCGGUAGUCCUAGCCGUAAACGAUGGAUACUGGGUGUGGGAGAGU
rnacentral:rRNA from 1 species